CAACUAUCAAAGGGAUUCACAGGCUUUAAAAAGAUGAGCCAUUAAUGAAGGCAUCUCUAUAUCGGCUUCAAAUUGAUGUUUUAAAUCUUAGUUGACUCCUAGGCAUUCAAGUAUGAGGCGAAGGGGAUCAUCAUUUUUAUUAAAAGAGAAAUCCCCAAAUCAGAACUGGUUUAAUUCCAACCUAAUUUUGGCUACUUAAGCCAUCUGGACAGUGGGAUUUAAUCUCACGACAUGCACACACAGAUGUGCAAUGACGUAUAUGUAAGGCGAACUCUUCACAACAAAUCUAUGCCUCAGUGCUUUGGCCUCAUCCUUCCCUGAUGCAGUCUGCCUGCACUAGAAACAAGAUAACACCUGUUAUUCUCUCGCCACGUGUUAGGGACUCUGAGUCAGAGGUUACAAACGGAAUUGAAUAUUUUGGGAAGUUCUCAACCUCUCAUCUUACAUUUGGCCACGGAAUGCGUGCAGGAAAUAAAACAACCAAAAUGAAUCAAGAGCCCAGCCUAGAUGGGGCACAUCAAGGGAAAUCCUGGCUCUCAGGAGGGUGACAGCUCCUGUGUCAGCCACACUGCUGUUGUGUGCGUAGCAGAAGGAAAGCACACCCACCCUGAACUGCAUCCCACGCAGCCCACACCAACUCUGCCUGUCCAUGCACUGCCCAACCACACCUGCAGUUAGCAUAUUCAUCAGUGUUCCUGGUGUUUCCUGGUGAUGGAAGGCCCUGAGGUGCUCCAUUUCAGAGGUAGGCUCUGCCACCUAUAGCUCUUCUUGAGCCCAUCUAUUUUCUCCCAUUCCAAUGUACACCUUUUGAUGCAUGCAAUGAAUUUUCUGCUUUCUGUGCAGUCAUUAGAGGGAGAGACCCCACAUUAGGAAAAUGACCAUCGCAAUAAGCAUGCCUAUUGGCUACCUUAAUUAGAAACAGGAACGUGGGCCUGAGACCAGAACAAUUGCACAGAGUCCUGCCCUCAAGAGGGUUGUCCUUGGAAUUUUGUAUUCUGUGGUUGUCAUCUUGAUAUUCUUAAUCUUUGGCUUUGUGUUUUGUAAAUAAAAUUUGAUGAGACAGGGAAGCAAGCACUGAGGCUGAGGGCUUGGAGAUUUGGUUUACACAGGGUCCUCUUCGGGACAUAUUCUUGGCCUUCCUACUCUCUGGAGUUCUGGGUCCUGCUCGGCCUCCUCCUCCUCCCUGCCCCCACCUAGCAACUGCCCCUGGUGGGGACCUAGGCACAGGCAUGGAGAUGGUCAGAUGUCCCAAGGCAGAAGCACCAUGGUGCAUUGGUGGGGUGACUUGGUGGAGGUGAGCCUCUUACCUGCCUUGACUGCAUGUUACAGGGGUGACAAUACCUAGGGGGCCAUCCAUCUGCCUGGGUCAGGGGAAGUGGAUCCAGGGAAGUGAGGGGGAUCAUGGUAGCCAGUGCACAUGCUCACACUCUGAAGACCUCUGUGGGCUUGUAAGGGUCUGCACUGGCCCUGCGGGCAGUGACACUAAAUAGGAACUAUAAAACACCAUAACAGAUCGAAAGGGAGUGGAGUAGGGGGAGAAACGCUUGAUACUUUAAUUCCUAACACUGCUCCCUGCUUUCUGCACAGGGGCCCCCACAAUUUUACUAUGAACUGGGCCCGAAAA
rnacentral:lncRNA from 1 species